CUAGAAUUUGGGGUCCUUUUCAGUCACCCUCGUAGCCAGCAUCUGCACCUACCACCCAGCAGGAGCUCAAACAGAGCGCUUGGUGAAUGAGUGAAUGGAUGCGGAAAUGAUUGAGGGACCUUCCGUGCUCCCUCUCAGGCACCUGCUCUGGGUUCCCCGAGGCCCAUCUCAGAGGCUCAGGUCGGUCAAAGGCAGCAAGCGAUGAAGUUAUAAACCAGGGCAGGCAAAUGGAGUGUGCAAAGUUUUUUGAGAGGAAACUCUAAGACGCGGUGCUAUUAAAAAUUGAUAUUUCAAUGAGAUAAUCCCUCUCAGGCUUUUAAUUGAUUGUCUAAAAAGCCUUCCUCUGUUGUUAUGCUUCUUUAUUUGCAGGGACCAUUAAUUUUUUUAUGAACAAUCAAACCCAGAUAGAGUGGAAAGGCUGCCGUGUGGCUGAUCCCAAAACGGUAACCAAGGCGCCAGGGGCAACAUCUGGGGGUCGACCAGGACAGGUGUGGACUCACACCACCACGGUAAACAGGAUGAUGUGGGUCACACUCCACAGAACGGCCCAAACCAAGAGACAUCGAGAGAGGGAACCCAAG